rnacentral:rRNA from 1 species
AUACGUAGGGGGCGAGCGUUGUCCGGAAUGACUGGGCGUAAAGGGCGUGUAGGCGGCCGAUUAAGUCUGAGUGAAAGUCCUGCUUUCCAGGGGGGAAUUGCUUUGGAGACUGGUUGGCUUGAGUGCGGGAGAGGGAAGUGGAAUUCCCCGUGUAGCGGUGAAAUGCGUAGAGAUUGGGAGGAACACCAGUGGCGAAGGCGACUUACUGGGCCGUAACUGACGCUGAGGCGCGAAAGCGUGGGGAGCGAACAGGAUUAGAUACCCUGGUAGUCCACGCUGUAAACGAUGAAUGCUAUGUGUAGGGGGUAUCGACCCCUCCUGUGCCGGAGUAAACGCAAUAAGCAUUCCGCCUGGGGAGUACGGCCGCAAGGUUGAAACUCAAAUGAAUUGACGGGG